UUGGGGCUUAGGCAGGACGGGGGCUGGUUGCUGGUGGUGGCUUGGAGCGGCCUGAAGUGGCUCCGAAUUGGGGUUAGGGCCUUCUGCAGGCAUUUCAGACUGCCUUGGAGGAGGUGGGGUGUGUAGCGGGGUCUGCGGAGUAGUAGAUCCUGAGGAGCGUUUGUGGAGUCCAGUGGAAUGGGCAGGAGUCCGCAGGGGCCUAAGGGAUUCGCCCUGUGUGGCACCGGCGCCCCUUCGUGGCGGCCACAGAAGAACCGCUCCCGGGCGGCGUCGGGUGGGGCAGCGCUGGCCAGUCCUGGCCCGGGGACCGGAUCAGGGGCCCCAGCUGGGUCUGGAGGCAAGGAGCGCUCAGAAAACUUGUCUUUGCGGCGCAGCGUGUCGGAGCUUAGCCUUCAGGGGCGGCGGCGGCGGCAGCAGGAGCGGAGACAGCAGGCACUUAGCAUGGCCCCAGGGGCAGCCGACGCCCAAAUCGGACCUGCAGACCCCGGGGACUUCGAUCAGUUGACUCAGUGCCUCAUCCAGGCCCCCAGCAACCGCCCCUACUUCCUGCUGCUCCAGGGCUACCAGGACGCCCAGGACUUUGUGGUGUAUGUGAUGACGCGAGAGCAGCACGU
rnacentral:sRNA from 1 species